GACGAACGCUGGCGGCGUGCUUAACACAUGCAAGUCGAACGGAAAGGCCCUGCUUUUGUGGGGUGCUCGAGUGGCGAACGGGUGAGUAACACGUGAGUAACCUGCCCUUGACUUUGGGAUAACUUCAGGAAACUGGGGCUAAUACCGGAUAGGAGCUCCUGCUGCAUGGUGGGGGUUGGAAAGUUUCGGCGGUUGGGGAUGGACUCGCGGCUUAUCAGCUUGUUGGUGGGGUAGUGGCUUACCAAGGCUUUGACGGGUAGCCGGCCUGAGAGGGUGACCGGCCACAGUGGGACUGAGAUACGGCCCAGACUCCUACGGGAGGCAGCAGUGGGGAAUAUUGCACAAUGGGCGGAAGCCUGAUGCAGCAACGCCGCGUGCGGGAUGACGGCCUUCGGGUUGUAAACCGCUUUCGCCUGUGACGAAGCGUGAGUGACGGUAAUGGGUAAAGAAGCACCGGCUAACUAC
rnacentral:rRNA from 1 species